AUUGAACGCUGGCGGCAGGCCUAACACAUGCAAGUCGAGCGGAGCGGCGGACGGGUGAGUAAUGCCUAGGAAUCUGCCUGGUAGUGGGGGAUAACGUACGGAAACGGGAGCUAAUACCGCAUACUAUCAGAUGAGCCUAGGUCGGAUUAGCUAGAUGGUGGGGUAAAGGCCUACCAAGGCGACGAUCCGUAACGGGUCUGCGAGGAUGAUCAGUCACACUGGAACUGAGACACGGUCCAGACUCCGACGGGAGGCAGCAGUGGGGAAUAUUGGACAAUGGGCGAAAGCCUGAUCCAGCCAUGCCGCGUGUGUGAAGAAGGUCUUCGGAUGGUAAAGCACUUUUAGUUGGGAGGCGUUACCAACAGAAUAAGCACCGGCUAACUUCGUGCCAGCAGCCGCGGUAAUAC
rnacentral:rRNA from 1 species